rnacentral:rRNA from 1 species
GAUCCUGGCUCGGGAUGAACGCUAGCUACAGGCUUAACACAUGCAAGUCGAGGGGCAUCAGGAAGAAAGCUUGCUUUCUUUGCUGGCGACCGGCGCACGGGUGAGUAACACGUAUCCAACCUGCCCUUUACUCGGGGAUAGCCUUUCGAAAGAAAGAUUAAUACCCGAUAGCAUAAUGAUUCCGAAUGGUUUCAUUAUUAAAGGAUUCCGGUAAAGGAUGGGGAUGCGUUCCAUUAGGUUGUUGGUGAGGUAACGGCCC